AGUCGCGGUUACGAACUCGGGUUAAGUUAACUAACCCUCUUCUCGACUCGAACACCUGCGCGGGCCGCGCUCAUCGUUUUCACCGAACCUCACUUCUUGAUCGCGUGGAAACAUCCUAUGCGUACGCUGUUUUCGCGUAACUGAUAUUGGAAAAAUAUGGCUCCCUCCGCAUACCCAGAAACCUUUGCGGCAUCUCGACGGCUGGCUUUCGGGCACUCGUAUACGCACGUUACAAAAACAUCGACCCUCGCUGCGAUUAUAUCGCCAUCGUUAGGCUAUUCUACGUAACUCAAAGGCACGUUAACAUUGUUACUUCCCACGAAUGCCACCAUUUAAUAUACUCGCAUGCGUAUACCGUUUAAAUUUAUAUAAGUGUAUAACAACUCUUUCACAUGUAUCUCUCAAUAAAAAUUAUUGAAAUAUUGUA